GACCAGCUCCAUCCUCUUGACACCCACCCUCUAAGUAUUUAUAGGUGUUGAUCAGAUCCCCCCUCAGUCUUGUCUUCUCCAGACUAACAAGUUCCUCAGCCUUUUCAUGUCAUCUGUGUCUGCCUGUGAUCCCCCUUGUUCGACAGGAAAUGGUGACGUUUGGUCAGAUGAGCAGUUCUUGAAGCUCCAGCCAGCUCUCCUUUGGCUGUAAUGAAAAUCUGCAGAUCUAGCUUAGAUGUUGUCAGUGAUGCUGCUACACAGUUAGAGGUGAUGAUGCACCCCCUCAUCAGGUCUCCCCUGGCAGUAAACACUCUUAGUCCAAACAUCCUGGCAAGAGACCACAAGCUUUGUGUUAUGGUUCAGGGUUUUUUUUCACUCAGUUUCCUCCACGUGUGUUUAACACAGCCCUUGGUAAAUUGUGAAGCAGCGUGUCAAGCAAAGCUCUACGUCUCUCCUGGAUUCCACCAACUGGAAGGAUGCAGUGGAGUGACUGGGAGAGGUGAGGAUGUGUCUUGAACUGACGCAGGCUGCGGAGAGAUGGAAAGAAAUACAAAAGGGCUGGAAUCUUGGAGAAAGAGUUGGGAAAAGAGAAUCUGCUGUGGGGUAGAGCUGCUAUGAUGGGGAGAUGUCCUGGUUCUCUAGGACACCCGAGGGACUGUGAGCGUGCAAAACUGCUUCUCUGCACCAAGCAGCACCGUGACAAGCACAGGAAGUCUCAGAUCUCACAUUGCAGUUGGUUUCUCAGGGCUGAACAUCUGCAGUGCUGGUCUGGCAGAGCUGGAGCCACCUCUCAAGGCCAUUUCCCUUUGCCUUAACUCAGCAGGAGGAGGUGCAGCACCUUUCCUGCUUCCAGGUGACUUUAUCUUAUGGGUAACAGUCAGUUAUGGAAGAGUCAAUUAUAAUGUGAACGACCCAAACUGAUAAAUCUUAUGCUGUUUCUCCAUCUUAAAAUGUUACGUCCUCUCCAUCUUGAAAUGUCCUCUCCAUCUUGAAAUGUCCUCUCCAUCUUCAAAUGUUCCCUCCCUGAAGAGGUCUUGAUGCAGUAAAAUCAUGGUUUUGUGGCACUGUUUGCAGGCUGACUGCUGGCGUUGUGCAGGCUGCUGCGCUGCUCCGCUGAGUUUGUUUCAUCUACGUGUCAAGAAAAUCACGAGAGCUGCAGGCUGCGCUGCUGAUUUGUAAGGGAAAGCCUUUGGCUCCGGUGGAUGUGACUUUACGGGGAGUCUCUUCUGCGGGAUGACACUUGCAGGUCCAACAUCUCUUGAUGACAUCACC